rnacentral:lncRNA from 1 species
UUAAAACAAAAAUCAUUUUUCCUUUAAGGACAACUUCACAUCUAACCAUAACAAAAUUAUAAAAUAAAUUUGGUUCCUUAAGAACCCAUGUGAUAUUUACUCACAAUAUUAAAAAUAGCAUCAUAAUCAUCAAUCAAAACUAUUACCAUCGUCAUCAUAAUAAUUAUCAUCAUAAUCAUCAUAUCAUCAACAUUUCCAUCAACAUUUUCAUCAUCAUCAUUAAUCUCAUCAUCAUCAUACAAUUAUCAUCAUCAUCAUCAUAUCAAAAUCAACAUCACAAUCAUCAUCAUAAUCAUCUUCAAAAUCGACAUCAUAAUAAUUAUAAAUGCUUGGUCCGAAAGUGGACCUUAGUGAGAUGUUACUCACCUAAAAUCCAGCUGCGUCUUCGCACGCACAACACAAGCAUAUAACACAAAACCACGCCACAAGUCACCUAUUAACAAAAACGUUAACCUUAGUAACUAUGAAAAACAACAUUAUCCGACUCGAACCGAAACUCAAGUCCUAACCCACGAGCUUGCCACUUGAGACAAAACUUCCUCCUUGACCUCUAAAAGGUCGCCGAAACGUCCAACACAUCCUAUAUAACUACUAACCAGAUUCUCAUGUUUGGAUUACUCAAAAAAUGAAACGAACGAAACUUAACACCACGGGGAAACCCUAGCAUGCAAUAAUGAUAACCAAAACCUACAACCCACAUAUCAACACGCUCGUAUCAAAGAGUACUAUCUAACCAGCACCACAAAACACCCUAGACACUACCGGAUGUGCCGCCACGCGCCACCACAGGCGGCGGCGAGUGGGCCCCACGCGCCACCACGAAACAUCCGAAUUUGGGCAAACUCAAAACAUCAAAUUUGUAAAUUGAGGAGAGAGGAGCAUCUUUUAUACCUGAAGGUUCAACUUGACACGACCCACCCCGAAUUUCACCCUGAAACCCAGAGUAAGUCGUGCGGGGACCACCUCCAAGGAAAAUUUACUGAAAAGAUUAAGAAAAUCUCCCUUGCAGAUGGACAACCCUAAUUCGAAAAUUUCAUAUUACACUUCUGAACUUCACAUAAUAUACAAAAAUUCUAAAGUAUUCAGAGCUACUAAACACAAGCGGAAGCAAGAAAACACGAGUAGGUUGAACAGGUAACCUACUGGCGAAAACUGGCAGAAAUGCGGGUGACUAUGCCUCGUCUCCUACUAGAUCCAACCCGAACUCUGCAGACUGGGCAAUUUAAAACGAAGGGCCCAGGGGAAAACAUUUAAUAACGUCAGAGUGAGUGGACAAAAAUAAAUUAAUAAUUAAAAUAUUUAUGUUUCCCCAAAUUAAUUUCUAAGGAAAAAUCGAUUGCAUGCCGCAAGCGAUAAAACCUUUAUCCCAUAAAAUAUCGAGCCUCUCA